rnacentral:misc_RNA from 1 species
GAAAUGCGAUACGUAGUGUGAAUUGCAGAAUUCAGUGAAUCAUCGAAUCUUUGAACGCACAUUGCGCCCGCUAGUAUUCUGGCGGGCAUGCCUGUUCGAGCGUCAUUUCAACCAUCAAGCCCCCGGCUUGUGUUGGGGUCCUGCGGCUGCCGCAGACCCCCAAAUCCAGUGGCGGGCUCGUCGCUUACCGAGUGCAGUAAACAUCCUCGCUCAGGGAACGCGUCGGGUUCCGGCCGUGAAACACACCCCAUAUCAAGGUUGACCUCGGAUCAGGUAGGAAUACCCGCUGAACUUAA